rnacentral:rRNA from 1 species
AGAGUUUGAUCAUGGCUCAGGACGAACGCUGGCGGCGUGCUUAACACAUGCAAGUCGAGCGGAAAGGCCCUUCGGGGUACUCGAGCGGCGAACGGGUGAGUAACACGUGAGCAAUCUGCCCUUAGCUCUGGGAUAGCUCCGGGAAACCGGGAUUAAUACCAGAUACGACCACUUUAGACAUCUGCUGUGGUGGAAAGAAUUUCGGCUAGGGAUGAGCUCGCGGCCUAUCAGCUUGUUGGUGGGGUAACGGCCUACCAAGGCGACGACGGGUAGCCGGCCUGAGAGGGCGACCGGCCACACUGGGACUGAGACACGGCCCAGACUCCUACGGGAGGCAGCAGUGGGGAAUAUUGCGCAAUGGGCGAAAGCCUGACGCAGCGACGCCGCGUGGGGGAUGAAGGCCUUCGGGUUGUAAACCCCUUUCAGCAGGGACGAAGCGAGAGUGACGGUACCUGCAGAAGAAGCGCCGGCUAACUACGUGCCAGCAGCCGCGGUAACACGUAGGGCGCAAGCGUUGUCCGGAAUUAUUGGGCGUAAAGAGCUCGUAGGCGGUCUGUUGCGUCCGCUGUGAAAUCUCGGGGCUUAACCCCGAGCCUGCAGUGGAUACGGGCAGACUAGAGGUAGGUAGGGGAGAAUGGAAUUCCCGGUGUAGCGGUGAAAUGCGCAGAUAUCGGGAGGAACACCGGUGGCGAAGGCGGUUCUCUGGGCCUUACCUGACGCUGAGGAGCGAAAGCGUGGGGAGCGAACAGGAUUAGAUACCCUCGUAGUCC